rnacentral:rRNA from 1 species
UACGUAGGUGGCGAGCGUUGUCCGGAUUUACUGGGCGUAAAGCGCGCGCAGGCGGUUCGUUAAGUCCGGUGUGAAAGCUCCCGGCUCAACUGGGAGAGGUCAUUGGAUACUGGCGGACUUGAGGGAUGCAGAGGAAGGUGGAAUUCCCGGUGUAGUGGUGAAAUGCGCAGAUAUCAGGAGGAACACCGAUGGCGAAGGCAGGUCUCUGGGCCACUACUGACGCUGAGAAGCGAAAGCAUGGGGAGCGAACCGG